CUGAGUCGUAAAAAACUCCCAACCCAUGUGAAUUUACCUUUGUUGCCUCGGCGGACCUACCCGGUACCUACCCUGUAGCUACCCUGUAGCCCGCCGGUGGACUAUUUAACUCUUGUUAUUUUAUAGUAAUCUGAGCGUCUUAUUUUAAUAAGUCA
rnacentral:misc_RNA from 1 species